rnacentral:rRNA from 1 species
CCUACGGGAGGCAGCAGUGAGGAAUAUUGGUCAAUGGGCGAGAGCCUGAACCAGCCAAGUCGCGUGAGGGAGUACUGCCCUAUGGGUUGUAAACCUCUUUUGCCAGGGGACAAAGGCGGCCACGGGUGGCCGUAAGAGGGUACCUGGAGAAAAAGCAUCGGCUAACUCCGUGCCAGCAGCCGCGGUAAUACGGAGGAUGCGAGCGUUAUCCGGAUUUAUUGGGUUUAAAGGGUGCGCAGGCGGCGUGUCAAGUCAGCGGUAAAAUGUCCGGGCUCAACCCGGGCCGGCCGUUGAAACUGGGGAUGUUGAGUGGGCGAGAAGUAUGCGGAAUGCGUGGUGUAGCGGUGAAAUGCAUAGAUAUCACGCAGAACUCCGAUUGCGAAGGCAGCAUACCGGCGCCCGACUGACGCUGAGGCACGAAAGCGUGGGGAUCGAACAGGAUUAGAUACCCUAGUAGUC